rnacentral:rRNA from 1 species
UACAGAGGGCCCAAGCGUUGUUCGGAUUCAUUGGGCGUAAAGGGCGCGUAGGCGGCGCCGUAAGUGGGGUGUGAAAUUUCGGAGCUUAACUCCGAAACUGCAUUCCAUACUGCGGUGCUUGAGGACUGGAGAGGAGACUGGAAUUCAUGGUGUAGCAGUGAAAUGCGUAGAGAUCAGGAGGAAGACCAGUGGCGAAGGCGGGUCUCUGGACAGUUCCUGACGCUGAGGCACGAAGGCUAGGGGAGCGAACGGG